rnacentral:tmRNA from 1 species
GGGGACGUUACGGAUUCGACAAGCACAGUUCGAGCUUGAAUUGCGUUUCGUAGGUUACGUCUACGUUAAAACGUUACAGUUAAAUAUAACUGCUAAAAACGAAAACAACUCUUACGCUUUAGCUGCCUAAAAACAGUUAGCGUAGAUCCUCUCGGCAUCGCCCAUGUGCUCGAGUAAGGGUCUCAAAUUUAGUGGGAUACGUUAAACUUUUCCGUCUGUAAAGUUUAAAAGAGAUCAUCAGACUAGCAAUACAGAAUGCCUGUCACUCGGCAAGCUGUAAAGCGAAACCUCAAAUGAGUUGACUAUGAACGUAGAUUUUUAAGUGUCGAUGUGUUUGGACGCGGGUUCGACUCCCGCCGUCUCCAUUG